UAUGGGUACUUGGCAGGGGUUGUAUUCAGGCAGAAAGAUCAGCAGGUACACAGGCCUUAAGACAGGAAGAAGCAUGGUGCCCAAGCAGGGUGAAUGGUGUGGAACUCGGAAGUAGAAGAGAGGAGGUAGGAGCCAGAACAAGGUCUUGUAGAUACUGUGUGAUCCUAUUAAUCUCACUCCCUUUAAUUCUCAAAACUGUUCCUCUUUGGAUAACUAUAUGAUCACACUACUCAUAGGCCACAUAAUCAUUUUGACCUUUAUCUUGAGAGCAGUAAAGAAUUUUAAGCAUAAGUAUAACAUAACAGUUUUAGAAAGUCAAGUUGUAAAGAGUAAAUCACUAUACCUGCAGUGUCUCCUAUGACUGAAUAUUUCAUAUCAGCCUCACGGGGAACCACAGCCUGAAAAGAACAGUAUCAUAAAUUUAUCAAAGCAUAAUACAAAUCACUCUCUUCCACAAAAAUGUGUUAAGUUUUAUAGUAUGUAUACUCCCAUAUUAGGAUUCUUCAGAAAGACAAAACUGAUAGGAUGUGUGUGUAUAAAUAAAACUGUACACACACACACACACACACACAUAUAUGAGAGAGAGAGAGAGAGAGAGAGACGUCUUUAAGGACUUGGCUCAUAUGAUUAUAGAAGCUUGGCAUAUCCAAAAUCUGCAGGGAAUGCUGACAGAGUAGAGUCCCAGGGACAAAUUGCUGUUUGAGUCCAAAGGCAGACUGUUGGCAGAAUUUCUUCUUCUUUGGUAGAGGUCAAUCUUUUUUCUAUUGAGACCUUCAACUGAUUAGAUGUUAAGAAGGGUGAUCUGCUUUAGUCAACAUCUACGGCUUAAAUGUUGAUGUCAUCUAAAAAAAAAAAAAAAAAAAAAAAAAAACCACCUUCACAGUAUCAUCUAGAAUGAUGUUCAAGCAAAUACCUGGGUACCAUGGCCUCAUCAAGUUGACACAUAAAAUUAACCAUUGCAAGUACCUAUUGGUACAAAUAAAUAAGUGAGGUUUUGAUCCUUCUGGGUUUUGAAGAACAAAUUGCUUAAUUCAAAUAUUCGUGGGAUCUACUCCCAAAUGUACUUGCUCCCAUAGAUCAUGGCAUCUCCGUUGGGACACCAGCUCAAUCUAGACAGUUUCUGAACAGACCAAACAGUUUCAGAAGAGGCACAAUGGGUUUUGUGGUCCCCAGGAUUCCCACCUCCACAGACCCUGUAGGUGGCACAUUCCAGAGUGGAAUGAUGAGAUGUUCUGUAAAAAGGUGUGGCUGAGAGACCUCCCCUCUUGACAGUGUCCCACAUUGGAAGAAUAAGGCAAGAACUGUUUAGUUUGUCAAGGAAAUUCCCCGAGGGAAACAUUAACUUCGAAAUUUCACAAUUUCAACAAGGAAGUUAUAAAGGCCAAUAUCUAAGGGCUGAAAGUCUUUUCCCACACUCUUAUAUUUUAAAAAAUAAAAGAAAGAUAAAAAGGAUAUCUCAUGUAAGUAGCUUCCCUGUGAUGCUUUGGUGCUUAUGUGAAGAAAUAGGAGUUUUGUAUUACAGUUUAACCACACUGGCUACACUGAUGAUAAGCCAUGAUUUCCCCAUGGCGUUAGCAUUUUAUUUUUUUUAAUUUGCAAAACCCUUCCCUUCUGCUCAUGAGAAAAAAAAAAUAACAUGCUCUGAUGUUGGGUCCAUGUAUCCCCUUAUUCAAGAAAGUAAGCAAAAGGUGAAAGUCAGAGAAUUUGGAGGGAAUAAAGGGCUUUCUAGGGCAGCCCGGGUGGCAACAGUUUAGUGCUGCCUUCAGCCCGGGGUGUGAUCCUGGAGACCUGGAAUCAAGUCCCACGUCUGGCUCCCUGCAUGGAGCCUGCUUCUCCCUCUGCUUGUGUCUCUGCCUCUCUCUCUCUCUGUGUCUUUCAUGAAUAAAUAAAUAAAAUAUUUUUUUUUUAAAAGGACUUUCUAAGGACAUUCGAUCUAAUGCCACACCCAUGUUUUGUUUUCUUUUUUUCCCUUGUCUUUGUAUAGCUUGAAGAGGGGCAACAUAUUUAAAAAGUGAAGAGAACAUUUUCAGGAAUAAGAGUCAUUAUGCAGACUAGCUGAUUUUUAGCUUCAUUGUUGAUGGAACAAGACACAAUGGCUUAGACUUAGCAUCGGUGAUUGAACUUCUAGAGAUCUGUGUGAUUGAGAGAAGUAUAAACUAAAUGGGCCUAAUGAGGGAGACUGUGGACUCUGCUUUCUGAAAAAAUCAGAGUCCUAACAGAUCAGGAUAAUCCACACUAGUAAAAUUAGGACACAUCAGUGUGUUAAACAUCUUAUUUAUGUGUCUCAGGAAGGACUUUUGUCUCCUUUAUCUCAGAAGCCAGCUGCCCUAGACCUGUAACUGUCCAGGGACCCCCAGUUUUUUCCUUCUUUCUAUUAACCUCUCAGUUUAAAAAUAUAUGCAGGACUUUGGAGAAACAAACGUCUGGACUGCAUACUCUUAGAUGUGGCCCCCCCUUCAAUGGCCAGUACCACAAGUGUAAACUAGAUUUCCUUUCUGUAGUGUAUAUUGUAAUAAAACAAAACACAAAGAUUUAACUGUGUUGACACACAUCCUAUAACUAUACAUGCUGAAUUAAAAUGUAUAUAUUUUAUAUUUAUAUAAAAUCUGACUGACUUCUAUAGAGGUAGAACUCAGCAGAAACAAAACAGCUGGCCAGAUUUAAUGGAAUGGAAUGGAAUGGUAAAAGAUUAGGGAAAGGGGGGGUAAACUGAUUAUAUGACCAAACUUUACAUCAUAUGAUUUACCACAAAAAAAUGUUUUUCAAAGGACAAAACAUUUCAUCUACCUCUGUCUCUCCACCAUCACAGUUUUCCUUUCUUCGGUUCCCUAAUCAAGCACCUCCAAUCCAUUUUAUCCAUGACUAUCAGCUCUUGUCCCCACACCCUUCUCACACUGUAGAAGUAAACCCUAGAUUCUUCAGGAGCAUAUAAAAUCAACACAGAAUGGUUAAGUAUGGUACAGAUCACAUCUUAUCAAGAUGAUGUAAUGCUGCUCCUCUGCCUGAAGUUAGGAUAUGAUGUUCUAACUAUAAAUAUUCUGUCAAAGUCCUCAUAUGUAUAUAGUUUAAACUGAGUUUGAUUUAAGUGAUAUUCCCAAAUCUUGGCAUUUAAAAAAAUAUUUAUGCUCAUUUAUAAAAAUUUGGGAAGAUUUAUUUCCUUCUAGGUAUGAGAGAUAGGGAAUUUUUUCCUACCAAAGACGGUCUGAUUUUUGUUUUUGACAUUACGGGUCAGGAAUCAAUGAUAAGUCUAGGUUCCCAGGAAGAGAGACUGUAAUGAUCUAAAUUAUGUCUCUGCUGCCACCCCCAUAUUCAUAUAUUGAAGCUCAAACUGCCACGAUGUAAUUAUAUUUGUAUAUGUGGCUUUAGAGAGGUAACAGAGUUUAUGUACGGUCAUUCUAAUUCUAUAGAAUUUGUGUCCUUAUAAGAAGAACAAGCAACAGAGCUCACUUUUUCUCUUCGUGUCUAUAAAGAAGAGGUCAUGUGAACACACAGCAAGAUGGUGACCACCUACAAGCCAACAGAGAAGAACUCAGAAUGAAACCUAUCAUGCUAACACUUUGAUCUUAGACUUCUAUGAAAAAUAAGUUUCUGUUGUUUAAGUCAUGCAGUCUGUUGCAUUUUGUUAUGGCAGCCCUAGCAGACUAAAACAGAGAUCAAGUUCUAGAUUGGGAGGAGCAGAAAAUGGGCCAGGACUAGAAGCCCAGUGAGAAAUCUGAACAGCUAGGAUGUCUCCAUGGUUUAGAAAACACUGAAGAAGCACCAGUAUAUAUAGAAACGUGGCAUGCAAUUACACUGGGCUCUGAGAACCAAGCCGGAGGAUCAGCUAGUACAUAGUUUGGUAGUUUUUGUUUUUGUUUUUUUUUAAGAUUUUAUUUAUUUAUUCAUGAGAAACACGGGCAGAGGGAGAAGCAGGCUCCAUGCAGGGAGCGCAACACGGGACUCAAUCUUAGGUCUCCAGGAUCAGGCCCUGGACUGAAGGCGGCGCUAAACUGCUGAGCCACAGUUUGGCUGCCCAACAGUUUGGUAGUUUAGAGCAGAACAGGAUUUGAAUCCCUACAGUUCCCAGCUGUGUGAUCUUUAGCAACUUUUUCUGAGCUUUAGUUUCCUCGUUUGCAAAAUGAGGAUAAAGGUAGUAAUGAUUUAUUGUGAAAAUUAAAUAAAAUAGAUAAAGAGCUCAGCACAGUACCUGCCCUGUAGGAAACACUUAGAUCAUCAAAAGCGAGAGAGAGAGCAGAGAGGCCAUGACUGCCACUUAACAGCUAACAUGGCCAGAGGAUAGAAGCACAGCAUGGCACAAAGUGACAACUUAAAAAUGUGGGCUUGAGAACAACAUCUCCAAAGGUAGAACAACUACCAGGGAUCCACAGUUCCUACAGAGUAUGACUGUUGGAUGUAGGUCAAGGGCUGGCCACUUGCUCCCUAUUCUAAGCAGCCUUGCUGAUAUGGAUAGAUGUACAUGUCAUUGUUCUAGCAGAAAACAGAUGGCCCACUCAAUGGGUAUGUAAGACAAUAAUUACGGAUAAGGAAGAUUGACAAAGGAUGGUGAAACAUCCCUGGGCUAGUGAGAGAGGGAUACCACCAGCAACCCUAGGCCCGAAUGGCCUUGGGAGGAAGUGGUUGCUGAAUCCCAGUGAGACCUGCAUGGCAGGAAAGGGUCUCUCAACAGGAGCUGUGACCUUUUCUAGAAGAACACAGCCACUAAUAACCUGAGGCCUGGCAGGAAGGGCACUGGGGAAUAAGCAAAUCCACCUCUCUCUCCUGCCUCCCUCUGACUUCCUGCCAGUCCCUCCUGUCAGCCAAACCCAAAUAGAAGCCAGAGGCAAGGGAGCCCAGGUGAUUUAGUCCACAGACAUCAGCCACAUAGGGCUCAGAGUAGAGAAAGGUGUAGUGUCAAUCUUCAAGGGCAUGCAAAAUUUACAGUGGAGUGAACAAAGGAGGAAAGGAGUAUACCGAAGGCAUUGUUCUUAGAGUUGGGACAAGGUUUUCUUAGGAGCCCUCCUCAGUAUAACUACAAACUCAUCAAGGCAGAAAGUAGCUAAGAAAUAACUCUGUCUCCUUGAGACACAAAGACCCCUCCCUGGUACCUUCAUUCAAUACACACAUCUCCUUAGCUGAUUUUACUCCCUCAUGUGUGCUUCAGAAUCUUUAGCACCUGGUUCCUGCCUGAGUGGCUGCUCUUUGCUCCUUCAGCUUCCUGGAAGCUUACAUUUCUUUUGAGAAUUUCUACUUCCAAGUGAUCUCUCAUGACCCUAUCCUACAAUACCUUGAGAAAAGUUUGGCUUGGAAUGCUUUAGAGUCUGGCAUAUAUAUGACACAAUUCAGGGGGAGAAAAUGAAAGUCUUCUGCACCAUCUUUAACCUGUGUCCUCAAUGCUCUAUUUUGUUUUCUGUAGUCAUUGAAGAGUAAUGGGACUCUGAUCAUUUUCAUCUUGGAAUGUAUUGCGAAGAUGUUGACUUUGGGAUCUAGUCCCCUUGCCUCCACCCCACCGGAUAUGCUCUCAUAAGUCUUGUUGACAUUAAUGAAUAGUUGUGUGUGCACAGUGCACGGAUAAGAAAGACAACUGAGGGCUCAGAGAGGCAAUCCCUCCGCUAAAAGCAAGAGCAAUAAACUUUAUCCAACAAAGGAACUGAUAGAAUAGUGAUGUAGGCUACUAUUUUUGUUUUAUUCUAUAGGGAGACAUUCAAAUUUCUCCUAAUUAAUAGAAUCUUUUGUGCAUCACAUUCAGAAGAGCUUUUCCCUUUCAUGAAGAAAUCUAACAGCACAGAAAACAUAUGCAUUUUUGGCUGCUUUUCAAGCCAUAUUUAUUAACUAAGUGCUAGGGUGGAGGAUAGUUUUCUUGCCAACAGGAUUCAUAGGACAUAGUGCUUGAAAGUACAUCAAGGAAUGAACCAUUUCUGUGACAAGCAAAUCACUGCCUGUAACUCCAACUUAGCUGGUGCUGUCAGCAUUGACCACAUAAACCACAGACUAACUGAAGAACUUCAGGCACCUAGGAUUAAACACAGUCUCCCAGUAUUAUGAGGUGCGGGAGCCAAUCCCCAGAACCACUUGAUUUUAGAGAAAAUAGCAGCUGGUCAGACAGAGACCAUUUCCGACUUCUCCCCACCAUUUUGGACACGGGGAUCUUCCUGGUGCUGAACUCUCUCAUAUCCUGUUGCUGGGAAGGAGUAUCUUAUUCACCAGAGGGCCUACACUACUCCACACACCCUUUACAAAACAACUUUUCUGGGAGAAAUCCAAUGACCUCUGAGACUAAAGCAAGGGAAGCUGCCAGGUAAUUAAGACACAGACAAGUUUUCUUUAGUGCCUCCUCAUCGCCCCUGCCCACCCUCCCUCUGGUCUCUUCCAACAUCCAAAGUCAGAAAUUCUCCUUCCCUCAGAGGCAGCCUGAGACGAUGAGGUUGGAAUAAAAGGUGGUUACAGGGUUCACAUAAGGUGACAAAGCUGGCACAUGCUAAACACUUAGCAUUAUACAGCCGCCCCUUAAGAGUGCUCCAAAUCCAUCAAUCAUCAUGGAAAAAUUAGAAGCUUUACUGGAUUCCUGCCUCUCCAAACAGAUCUUCUGAACUUGUAAAUGGACUCCAUAAUUCAGCGUUUGAGAACAGAGCUUCAGAACAGCAAAACUGUCUCUGUAACACACUGUCAGGCAACUCGGAACAAGCAGAGAAGAACAAGUCAAAACAAUCAGCUAUUUCAUUAAGGGCACAAAAUUAAUCUUGAAUGAUGCCCAAGUCUGACUCACAUUGUCAAAUAUUAUAUAUGAUCUCUACGAGCAGGCCAUUUCCCCAAUUCACUGAAACAUCUGUGCAUUUUAAUGGGCUAAGCUUUACCCUGUCCAACGCCCUUUAGCUGUUUUUGUUGUGGAUUAUGUAAUUCGGUGCAUGAUGCAAUCAGAAGAAGAAUGCUUUCUACCUGUCCUUUGUACGUGAUGUUGUCUGAUGGUUAGUGCAACUGGCUAGAUGGCUCAGAACCUUGCAUUUCAACACCCUAAAUUGCUCUGUGACCUUGGGCCUUUUGCUUCCCCUCUCUUGGCUUCCACUGUAAAAAUGGGGAGGAGCAAAUAUUUUACCUCUUUCACCAUUGGAUUUGAAAAUACAUUAGAACUGUCAUGAAAAUACAUACGGGUGCAAGGGACUGAUGCCUAGAAGAGAUAGGCUAAGAAUCCUGGAAAGUGGGCAGUGGCAUAAUUUAAAACAAAACAAACAAACAAAAAAUGCUUUGCCUGUUUUAUUUGUCUUUGGGUUUAACUAUGUGAGAAGCUAUGUGUUUGAAGAGGGGCUCUGAGUAUAACUUCGAUUUUCGUUCAGUGAGAUGAAGAAGAGAAACAGGAGCUAAAGAAAUCCAGAAAGGAAAAAGUGUGCUUUGUUAGAUGCAAAAUGAGGCUCACACUUUACCCUAAAGGAUCAAUAAUUAAAUAUUUUAAAAAAUGCAUAAAAACACUA
rnacentral:lncRNA from 1 species